UACAGAGGUCUCAAGCGUUGUUCGGAUUCAUUGGGCGUAAAGGGUGCGUAGGCGGCGGGGUAAGUCUGGUGUGAAAUCUCGGGGCUCAACCCCGGAACUGCACUGGAUACUGCCUUGCUUGAGUACUGGAGAGGAGAUUGGAAUUUACGGUGUAGCAGUGAAAUGCGUAGAUAUCGUAAGGAAGACCAGUGGCGAAGGCGAAUUUCUGGACAGGUACUGACACUGAGGCACGAAGGCCAGGGGAGCAAACGGG
rnacentral:rRNA from 1 species